rnacentral:rRNA from 1 species
CAAUAGCGUAUAUUAAAGUUGUUGCGGUAAAAAAGCUCGUAGUUGGAUUUCUGUUGAGAGCGACCGGUCCAUACCAUGUAUGCGUAUCUGGCUUGCUCUCGGCAUCCUCUCGAUAGACGUUACUGCGCUUGAUUGCGUGGUGCGGAUCUCGGGACUUUUACUUUGAGGAAAUUAGAGUGUUCAUGGCAGGCUUUCGCCAGAAUACAUUAGCAUGGAAUAAUACUAUAGGAUCUUGGUUCUAUUUUGUUGGUUUCUAGAAUUGAGAUAAUGAUUAAUAGGGACAAUUGGGGGCAUUCGUAUCAACACGUCAGAGGUGGAAUUCUUGGAUUGUGUUGCGACGAACUACUGCGAAAGCAUUUGCCAAGGAUGUUUUCAUUGA